CUCGGCCUUCUUAUUUCAGGAUUUUGCAAGCAUUCAGGAUACUAUUCCUCUAAUGAAGCUGUUCUAAAGCCAGCCUCAUAUCAGCAUCCUGCAUAAGGGUUCUUCUCUUGGGAAAGGGAUACUUCAUCCAUCUCUGGGGGGAUAAACUACUAUGUACAUUGUGGUGCCCACUAUCUUAAUUAAAGAAAAGGAGUGAACUAUUACAGUGAAGUGGAGAAAAGAGUUUGGCACCCAAAAGGCUGAUGACCUACCAAAUACUAAGAUUGCUCACAAAGUGCAUACUUUUGAAAUCACUGUAUUUCAAAAUGUUGAGCAUAAGCUAAUCCUUUCAGCACUACAUAAGGAUGAAUAAUGUGACUUAUUG